rnacentral:lncRNA from 10 species
CUCCAAACCCCUCUGGGAGACAGAUUUUAGGUUCCUCCUGUCUCCUUGUCUGCGUCCCUGAGACAAAACCUCUUUCUUUGCUGCAAGUUGGUGUCUUGGCAUAUGGACUUGCUGUGCAGUACGUGUUGGGCUUGCAAUGAGCCUAUUACUGUUACGAUAAGAUACGGGAGAAUAGUGAGAUGCAGUGCUGUGCUGUGCAGUGGACACCAGCCGCUCAGGUGAACCUGAGAUGCUUCCAGGGGCAGGAGAUGUUGGUGGCCUGUGGCCUGAGCAGGAUGUGUCUUCCCUGAAUGACAGGCCUAUGAUCCCAUUAACAUAGAAGCAGAAAAUAAAAAAUUAAGACACUU